rnacentral:rRNA from 1 species
AUUGAACGCUGGCGGCAGGCCUAACACAUGCAAGUCGAGCGGAUGAAGGGAGCUUGCUCCUGGAUUCAGCGGCGGACGGGUGAGUAAUGCCUAGGAAUCUGCCUGGUAGUGGGGGAUAACGUCCGGAAACGGGCGCUAAUACCGCAUACGUCCUGAGGGAGAAAGUGGGGGAUCUUCGGACCUCACGCUAUCAGGUGAGCCUAGGUCGGAUUAGCUAGUUGGUGGGGUAAAGGCCUACCAAGGCGACGAUCCGUAACUGGUCUGAGAGGAUGAUCAGUCACACUGGAACUGAGACACGGCCCAGACUCCUACGGGAGGCAGCAGUGGGGAAUAUUGGACAAUGGGCGAAAGCCUGAUCCAGCCAUGCCGCGUGUGUGAAGAAGGUCUUCGGAUUGUAAAGCACUUUAAGUUGGGAGGAAGGGCAGUAAGUUAAUACCUUGCUGUUUUGACGUUACCAACAGAAUAAGCACCGGCUAACUUCGUG